AAUUCUUCAACUUGAGAGUUUGAUCCUGGCUCAGAACGAACGCUGGCGGCAGGCUUAGCACAUGCAAGUCGAACGCAUCCUUCGGGGUGAGUGGCAGACGGGUGAGUAACGCGUGGGAACGUGCCCUUCAGUUCGGAAUAACCCAGGGAAACUUGGGCUAAUACCGGAUACGUGCGAGAGCAGAAAGAUUUAUCGCUGAAGGAUCGGCCCGCGUCUGAUUAGCUAGUUGGUGAGGUAAUGGCUCACCAAGGCGACGAUCAGUAGCUGGUCUGAGAGGAUGAUCAGCCACAUUGGGACUGAGACACGGCCCAAACUCCUACGGGAGGCAGCAGUGGGGAAUAUUGGACAAUGGGCGCAAGCCUGAUCCAGCCAUGCCGCGUGAGUGAUGAAGGCCUUAGGGUUGUAAAGCUCUUUCGGCGGGGACGAUAAUGACGGUACCCGCAGAAGAAGCCCCGGCUAACUUCGUGCCAGCAGCCGCGGUAAUACGAAGGGGGCUAGCGUUGUUCGGAAUCACUGGGCGUAAAGGGCGCGUAGGCGGCUUUAUAAGUCGGGGGUGAAAGCCUGUGGCUCAACCACAGAAUUGCCUUCGAUACUGUAUGGCUUGAGACCGGAAGAGGUUAGUGGAACUGCGAGUGUAGAGGUGAAAUUCGUAGAUAUUCGCAAGAACACCAGUGGCGAAGGCGGCUGACUGGUCCGGUUCUGACGCUGAGGCGCGAAAGCGUGGGGAGCAAACAGGAUUAGAUACCCUGGUAGUCCACGCCGUAAACGAUGAAUGCCAGCCGUUGGGCAGCUUGCUGCUCAGUGGCGCAGCUAACGCUUUAAGCAUUCCGCCUGGGGAGUACGGUCGCAAGAUU
rnacentral:rRNA from 1 species